rnacentral:lncRNA from 1 species
AUAAGAGGUAGGAAAGAGGUCCACACCUCACAUAAUGUCUAUAUGUUUUAUAUUUAUAGUCUUAUAUAUGGUAUGUGGGUGGAAAUGAGCUGUUCUUCCUUAUGCUUUACUAUAAGUUCUGUUAUUAUCUCUGCUAUUGGCACUUUUUUGUCUAUCUAUAAUGUUUAUCUGAGAACUGAAAGAAUGAGUCAUAGGUUAACAUAUGGCAUAAAUCAUAAAAGGCACAUGGUACAUCCAAGUUAUGUGGUAACUAGUCCACAGUAUGUCCGUGAUAAAAAGAAACCUGUCGCAAAUUUAACCCCAAGUAUGGAUGCAAU